GUCUAUGGCCAUACCACCCUGAAUGCACCCAAUUUGUCUGACCUCAAAAGUUAAGCAGGUUUGGGCCUGGUUAGUACUUGGAUGGGAGACUGCCUGGAAAUACCAGGUGCUUUGGGCU
rnacentral:rRNA from 1 species